ensembl:misc_RNA
UUGUGAUCCCUGGAGAGUGAAAUCCCCCAUUAAUCCACAGAACAGGAAGGGCACAGAGAACAACAGUGCGAACUCCUCCACUUAAACAAGCGUGUCAUAACCCUGACCUAAAGGAAGCACCUCUUGGUAUGAGUGGGGAGUUUGGUUUCCAUACAAAUUCAGUUCUUGGCCUCU